UUUCUUGCCGUCCACGCACAUACACAUCCCAAGAUGUGCAGCAGGUGUUGAGGGAGAGUCAAGAAGAGGAUCCCUCUGAGCAGCAGCACAAGGAGGAGACGCAGACUUCCCCCUUCACUAAACAGGAAGAGGAGGACGUUUGGAUUUGUCAGGAUGGGAAGCAGCUGGUCUCGACACGCUUCCUUCGACUGAUGUCCAUUUGAAGAGUGUCGAGCAUGAAGGUCAGUCCUCACAGCUUCACCGCCUAAGUGUGUAGAAAAUAAAUCAAGGAGAAGACUGCGAAGAGCCUGAUAACGUUGCCGAAACGGGCGACAUUGUGACUUCCGAGAUGUUCAACCAACCCUUCGUCUGCUCCCUGUGGGGGAAAGCCUUUGCCAAAACGAAAACCCUGAGAAAACACAUGAGGGCGCACGCGCACCCCGCAGACACACACUUAAGCUGCCCCAAGUGCAAGAAAGCCUUUGUCUUCAAGGGGAACCCAAUCAGACGGAAGAACGUGACCGGGCGCCUGCACACUCGCACAGAGGGGAGGACUUUCACGUGCUUCUUGUGCAGCAAGGCGUUCGCACGAAGCCAACACUUUGAAAGACACCUGGACGCGCACACAGGCGACAAGCAAGUCUCCGCCUAGUCAGUGAAGAAGAGCCUCGUCAGCGCUGCCUACCGCUCCGGCCCUUAUGUUUUUUGCAGCAAGGGGUUUGAGAACAAGCCCCAACUGGCCAGACACAUGAGGACGUACGAAGGCGAGAAACCCUUAAGCUGCGGGUUGUGCGACAAAUGCUUCGCUUGCAUAUCACAUCAGUAAACACAAGCGUGUCACCAACAAGAGCAGCGGCACGUGAACUAAAUGGAUGCUAUCUUUUUUUCCAUUAGAUUUUUAGGACCAUAUAUUUUCCCUAAAACUAUCACGAUAUCUUUUUUUUCUUUUUUUUAUGCCUCUGAAAUCAUUAAAAAUAAGAGCAAACUGGUGAUCUGUUAAAAAAAUAGUCUCUGUAACUAGGAAUGGGUAGCCAUUUUGUUUUCUAUGUUUUUCUCUUUGUUGACAGUAGGAUGAGAGAAGUUUGAUUAUUUUUGGAAGUUUAUUUGUUUUUACAGUGCAAUACUAUUGAGUGCAUUUUUCUUAUUAAAAAUGUUUUUUUUUUAAA